rnacentral:rRNA from 1 species
UACAGAGGUCUCAAGCGUUGUUCGGAUUCAUUGGGCGUAAAGAGCGUGUAGGCGGCCCGGUAAGUCCGCUGUGAAAGUCGGGGGCUCAACCCUCGAAUGCCGGUGGAUACUGUCGGGCUAGAGUGCGGAAGAGGCGAGUGGAAUUCCUGGUGUAGCGGUGAAAUGCGCAGAUAUCCGGAGGAACACCAGUGGCGAAGGCGGUCUUCGAGGCGCUAACUGACGCUGAGGCGCGAAAGCGUGGGGAGCGAACCGG